GAGGUGGUCUCCACUGAUAUAUCCCUUAAACAAUGUAAUAUGGUGUCUCCUAUUGCCCUGGAAGAGGUGGUCUCCACUGAUAUAUCCCUUAAACAAUGUAAUAUGGUGUCUCCUAUUGCCCUGGAAGAGGUGGUCUCCACUGAUAUAUCCCUUAAACAAUGUAAUAUGGUGUCUCCUAUUGCCCUGGAAGAGGUGGUCUCCACUGAUAUAUCCCUUAAACAAUGUAAUAUGGUGUCUCCUAUUGCCCUGGAAGAGGUGGUCUCCACUGAUAUAUCCCUUAAACAAUGUAAUAUGGUGUCUCCUAUUGCCCUGGAAGAGGUGGUCUCCACUGAUAUAUCCC